rnacentral:rRNA from 1 species
AUCACCACGCCGUCUACUCUUGGACAGCCUUCUGAAAGGAAGAUUAAUACAAGAUGGCAUCAUGAGUCCGCAUGUUCACAUGAUUAAAGGUAUUCCGGUAGACGAUGGGGAUGCGUUCCAUUAGAUAGUAGGCGGGGUAACGGCCCACCUAGUCUUCGAUGGAUAGGGGUUCUGAGAGGAAGGUCCCCCACAUUGGAACUGAGACACGGUCCAA